rnacentral:rRNA from 1 species
CGUAGGGUGCAAGCGUUAAUCGGAAUUACUGGGCGUAAAGCGUGCGCAGGCGGUUUUGUAAGUCUGAUGUGAAAUCCCCGGGCUCAACCUAGGAAUUGCAUUGGAGACUGCAAGGCUAGAAUCUGGCAGAGGGGGGUAGAAUUCUACGUGUAGCAGUGAAAUGCGUAGAUAUGUGGAGGAACACCGAUGGCGAAGGCAGCCCCCUGGGUCAAGAUUGACGCUCAUGCACGAAAGCGUGGGGAGCAAACAGGAUUAGAUACCCUGGUAGUCCACGCCCUAAACGAUGUCUACUAGUUGUCGGGUCUUAAUUGACUUGGUAACGCAGCUAACGCGUGAAGUAGACCGCCUGGGGAGUACGGUCGCAAGAUUA